AUUGAACGCUGGCGGCAUGCCUUACACAUGCAAGUCGAACGGUAACAGGUCUUCGGAUGCUGACGAGUGGCGAACGGGUGAGUAAUACAUCGGAACGUGCCUAGUAGUGGGGGAUAACUACUCGAAAGAGUGGCUAAUACCGCAUGAGAUCUACGGAUGAAAGCAGGGGAUCGCAAGACCUUGUGCUACUAGAGCGGCCGAUGGCAGAUUAGGUAGUUGGUGGGAUAAAAGCUGACCAAGCCGACGAUCUGUAGCUGGUCUGAGAGGACGAUCAGCCACACUGGGACUGAGACACGGCCCAGACUCCUACGGGAGGCAGCAGUGGGGAAUUUUGGACAAUGGGCGAAAGCCUGAUCCAGCAAUGCCGCGUGCAAGAUGAAGGCCUUCGGGUUGUAAACUGCUUUUGUACGGAACGAAAAGCCCCGGGUUAAUACCCUGGGGUCAUGACGGUACCGUAAGAAUAAGCACCGGCUAACUACAUGACAGCCGCCGCCGUAA
rnacentral:rRNA from 1 species